UACGUAGGGCGCAAGCGUUGUCCGGAAUUAUUGGGCGUAAAGAGCGCGCAGGCGGCUUGGCAAGUCGGGUGUGAAAUCCCGGGGCUCAACCCCGUGACUGCAUCCGAUACUGUCAGGCUAGAGGUAGGUAGGGGAGAUCGGAAUUCCUGGUGUAGCGGUGAAAUGCGCAGAUAUCAGGAGGAACACCGGUGGCGAAGGCGGAUCUCUGGGCCUUACCUGACGCUCAGGCGCGGAAGCUAGGGGAGCGAACAGG
rnacentral:rRNA from 1 species